AAAUUGAAGAGUUUGAUCAUGGCUCAGAUUGAACGCUGGCGGCAGGCCUAACACAUGCAAGUCGAACGGUAACAGGAAGCAGCUUGCUGCUUCGCUGACGAGUGGCGGACGGGUGAGUAAUGUCUGGGAAACUGCCUGAUGGAGGGGGAUAACUACUGGAAACGGUAGCUAAUACCGCAUAAUGUCGCAAGACCAAAGAGGGGGACCUUCGGGCCUCUUGCCAUCGGAUGUGCCCAGAUGGGAUUAGCUAGUAGGUGGGGUAACGGCUCACCUAGGCGACGAUCCCUAGCUGGUCUGAGAGGAUGACCAGCCACACUGGAACUGAGACACGGUCCAGACUCCUACGGGAGGCAGCAGUGGGGAAUAUUGCACAAUGGGCGCAAGCCUGAUGCAGCCAUGCCGCGUGUAUGAAGAAGGCCUUCGGGUUGUAAAGUACUUUCAGCGGGGAGGAAGGCGAUAAGGUUAAUAACCUUGUCGAUUGACGUUACCCGCAGAAGAAGCACCGGCUAACUCCGUGCCAGCAGCCGCGGUAAUACGGAGGGUGCAAGCGUUAAUCGGAAUUACUGGGCGUAAAGCGCACGCAGGCGGUCUGUCAAGUCGGAUGUGAAAUCCCCGGGCUCAACCUGGGAACUGCAUUCGAAACUGGCAGGCUAGAGUCUUGUAGAGGGGGGUAGAAUUCCAGGUGUAGCGGUGAAAUGCGUAGAGAUCUGGAGGAAUACCGGUGGCGAAGGCGGCCCCCUGGACAAAGACUGACGCUCAGGUGCGAAAGCGUGGGGAGCAAACAGGAUUAGAUACCCUGGUAGUCCACGCCGUAAACGAUGUCGACUUGGAGGUUGUGCCCUUGAGGCGUGGCUUCCGGAGCUAACGCGUUAAGUCGACCGCCUGGGGAGUACGGCCGCAAGGUUAAAACUCAAAUGAAUUGACGGGGGCCCGCACAAGCGGUGGAGCAUGUGGUUUAAUUCGAUGCAACGCGAAGAACCUUACCUACUCUUGACAUCCAGAGAACUUUCCAGAGAUGGAUUGGUGCCUUCGGGAACUCUGAGACAGGUGCUGCAUGGCUGUCGUCAGCUCGUGUUGUGAAAUGUUGGGUUAAGUCCCGCAACGAGCGCAACCCUUAUCCUUUGUUGCCAGCGGUCCGGCCGGGAACUCAAAGGAGACUGCCAGUGAUAAACUGGAGGAAGGUGGGGAUGACGUCAAGUCAUCAUGGCCCUUACGAGUAGGGCUACACACGUGCUACAAUGGCGCAUACAAAGAGAAGCGACCUCGCGAGAGCAAGCGGACCUCAUAAAGUGCGUCGUAGUCCGGAUUGGAGUCUGCAACUCGACUCCAUGAAGUCGGAAUCGCUAGUAAUCGUGGAUCAGAAUGCCACGGUGAAUACGUUCCCGGGCCUUGUACACACCGCCCGUCACACCAUGGGAGUGGGUUGCAAAAGAAGUAGGUAGCUUAACCUUCGGGAGGGCGCUUACCACUUUGUGAUUCAUGACUGGGGUGAAGUCGUAACAAGGUAACCGUAGGGGAACCUGCGGUUGGAUCACCUCCUUACCUUAAAGAA
rnacentral:rRNA from 3 species